rnacentral:lncRNA from 1 species
AUCUUUUUACCUAGUAACCGGUAAUAGAUAAUGUACUUCUAGUACAUCGGUGUUGAAAUUCAUUCUUCCCCGGUUGAGCUUGAGUGUGUAUUUCCUUAGUGAAAUCACCAUUUUCCUGUUUGGUUCGAGUAUUUCAACUUUAUUAUGAUUUACCUGCUUCUCCUGCGGAUUUUCCCUUUGUUCCUGGUUGAGUCCUUCCAUUGAUUUAUUUACAUGGAAUCCUCUUGUGUCUCCAGCAGUUUUAUGUCGUAGCCUUGCCUACGCACAAUUUCUUUUUUACCCCCAGAGUCUCUGUCUCCCUAGUGAGUUUUCCUUACAGAAGGCAUUAUGCUCCUGCGGACUUCCAGUCCUCUCCGAUUUGUUUUUCUUUGUGGCAAUAUUUUCCCCACAGAAAAUAUUUUAACACUCAUAUCAUAUGCAUCAUGAGG